UGAUUUUCCGGUUGAUCCUGCCGGACCCGACCGCUAUCGGGGGUAGGGCUAAGCCAUGGGAGUCGUACACCUCCGGGAAGGGGGUGUGGCAGACGGCUGAGUAACACGUGGCUAACCUACCCUCGGGAGGGGGAUAACCCCGGGAAACUGGGGAUAAUCCCCCCAUAGUGGAGGAGUCCUGGAACGGUUCCUCCACGAAAUGGAUAUGGGCUGUUCCCGCUCAUAUCCGCCCGAGGAUGGGGCUGCGGCCCAUCAGGCUGUUGGCGGGGUAAUGACCCGUCAAACCUAUAACGGGUAGGGGCCGUGGGAGCGGGAGCCCCCAGUCGGGCACUGAGACAAUGGCCCAGGCCCUACGGGGUGCACCAGGCGCGAAACGUCCCCAAUGCGCGAAAGCGUGAGGGCGCUACCCCGAGUGCCUCCUAUUGGAGGCUUUUCCCCGCUCUAAAAAGGCGGGGGAAUAAGCGGGGGGCAAGUCUGGUGUCAGCCGCCGCGGUAACACCAGCUCCGCGAGUGGUCGGGACGCUUACUGGGCCUAAAGCGCCUGUAGCCGGCCCACUAAGUCGCUCCUUAAAGACCCGGGCUCAACCCGGGAAAUGGGAGCGAUACUAGUGGGCUAGGGGGCGGGAGAGGCCAGGGGUACUCCCGGAGAAGGGGCGAAAUCCGUAGAUCCCGGGAGGACCACCAGUGGCGGAGGCGCCUGGCUAGAACGCGCCCGACGGUGAGAGGCGAAAGCCGGGGCAGCAAACAGGAUUAGAUACCCUGGUAGUCCCGGCUGUAAACGAUGCGGGCUAGGUGUCAAGUGGGCUUAGAGCCCACUUGGUGCCGCAGGGAAGCCGUUAAGCCCGCCGCCUGGGGAGUACGGUCG
rnacentral:rRNA from 1 species